rnacentral:rRNA from 1 species
UUAAGUUAUUAAGGGCGCACGGUGGAUGCCUUGGCACUAGAAGCCGAUGAAGGACGUUACUAACGACGAUAUGCUUUGGGGAGCUGUAAGUAAGCUUUGAUCCAGAGAUUUCCGAAUGGGGAAACCCAGCAUGAGUUAUGUCAUGUUAUCGAUAUGUGAAUACAUAGCAUAUCAGAAGGCACACCCGGAGAACUGAAACAUCUUAGUACCCGGAGGAAGAGAAAGAAAAUUCGAUUCCCUUAGUAGCGGCGAGCGAAACGGGAAGAGCCCAAACCAACAAGCUUGCUUGUUGGGGUUGUAGGACACUCUGUACGGAGUUACAAAGGACGACAUUAGACGAAUCAUCUGGAAAGAUGAAUCAAAGAAGGUAAUAAUCCUGUAGUCGAAAAUGUUGUCUCUCUUGAGUGGAUCCUGAGUACGACGGAGCACGUGAAAUUCCGUCGGAAUCUGGGAGGACCAUCUCCUAAGGCUAAAUACUCUCUAGUGACCGAUAGUGAACCAGUACCGUGAGGGAAAGGUGAAAAGCACCCCGGAAGGGGAGUGAAAUAGAACCUGAAACCGUGUGCUUACAAGUAGUCAGAGCCCGUUAAUGGGUGAUGGCGUGCCUUUUGUAGAAUGAACCGGCGAGUUACGAUUUGAUGCAAGGUUAAGCAGUAAAUGUGGAGCCGUAGCGAAAGCGAGUCUGAAUAGGGCGUUUAGUAUUUGGUCGUAGACCCGAAACCAGGUGAUCUACCCUUGGUCAGGUUGAAGUUCAGGUAACACUGAAUGGAGGACCGAACCGACUUACGUUGAAAAGUGAGCGGAUGAACUGAGGGUAGCGGAGAAAUUCCAAUCGAACCUGGAGAUAGCUGGUUCUCUCCGAAAUAGCUUUAGGGCUAGCCUCAAGUGAUGAUUAUUGGAGGUAGAGCACUGUUUGGACGAGGGGCCCCUCUCGGGUUACCGAAUUCAGACAAACUCCGAAUGCCAAUUAAUUUAACUUGGGAGUCAGAACAUGGGUGAUAAGGUCCGUGUUCGAAAGGGAAACAGCCCAGACCACCAGCUAAGGUCCCAAAAUAUAUGUUAAGUGGAAAAGGAUGUGGCGUUGCCCAGACAACUAGGAUGUUGGCUUAGAAGCAGCCAUCAUUUAAAGAGUGCGUAAUAGCUCACUAGUCGAGUGACACUGCGCCGAAAAUGUACCGGGGCUAAACAUAUUACCGAAGCUGUGGAUUGUCCUUUGGACAAUGGUAGGAGAGCGUUCUAAGGGCGUUGAAGCAUGAUCGUAAGGACAUGUGGAGCGCUUAGAAGUGAGAAUGCCGGUGUGAGUAGCGAAAGACGGGUGAGAAUCCCGUCCACCGAUUGACUAAGGUUUCCAGAGGAAGGCUCGUCCGCUCUGGGUUAGUCGGGUCCUAAGCUGAGGCCGACAGGCGUAGGCGAUGGAUAACAGGUUGAUAUUCCUGUACCACCUAUAAUCGUUUUAAUCGAUGGGGGGGACGCAGUAGGAUAGGCGAAGCGUGCGAUUGGAUUGCACGUCUAAGCAGUAAGGCUGAGUAUUAGGCAAAUCCGGUACUCGUUAAGGCUGAGCUGUGAUGGGGAGAAGACAUUGAGUCUUCGAGUCGUUGAUUUCACACUGCCGAGAAAAGCCUCUAGAUAGAAAAUAGGUGCCCGUACCGCAAACCGACACAGGUAGUCAAGAUGAGAAUUCUAAGGUGAGCGAGCGAACUCUCGUUAAGGAACUCGGCAAAAUGACCCCGUAACUUCGGGAGAAGGGGUGCUCUUUAGGGUUAACGCCCAGAAGAGCCGCAGUGAAUAGGCCCAAGCGACUGUUUAUCAAAAACACAGGUCUCUGCUAAACCGUAAGGUGAUGUAUAGGGGCUGACGCCUGCCCGGUGCUGGAAGGUUAAGAGGAGUGGUUAGCUUCUGCGAAGCUACGAAUCGAAGCCCCAGUAAACGGCGGCCGUAACUAUAACGGUCCUAAGGUAGCGAAAUUCCUUGUCGGGUAAGUUCCGACCCGCACGAAAGGCGUAACGAUUUGGGCACUGUCUCAACGAGAGACUCGGUGAAAUCAUAGUACCUGUGAAGAUGCAGGUUACCCGCGACAGGACGGAAAGACCCCGUGGAGCUUUACUGUAGCCUGAUAUUGAAAUUCGGCACAGCUUGUACAGGAUAGGUAGGAGCCUUUGAAACGUGAGCGCUAGCUUACGUGGAGGCGCUGGUGGGAUACUACCCUAGCUGUGUUGGCUUUCUAACCCGCACCACUUAUCGUGGUGGGAGACAGUGUCAAGCGGGCAGUUUGACUGGGGCGGUCGCCUCCUAAAAGGUAACGGAGGCGCUCAAAGGUUCCCUCAGAAUGGUUGGAAAUCAUUCAUAGAGUGUAAAGGCAUAAGGGAGCUUGACUGCGAGACCUACAAGUCGAGCAGGGUCGAAAGACGGACUUAGUGAUCCGGUGGUUCCGCAUGGAAGGGCCAUCGCUCAACGGAUAAAAGCUACCCCGGGGAUAACAGGCUUAUCUCCCCCAAGAGUUCACAUCGACGGGGAGGUUUGGCACCUCGAUGUCGGCUCAUCGCAUCCUGGGGCUGUAGUCGGUCCCAAGGGUUGGGCUGUUCGCCCAUUAAAGCGGUACGCGAGCUGGGUUCAGAACGUCGUGAGACAGUUCGGUCCCUAUCCGUCGUGGGCGUAGGAAAUUUGAGAGGAGCUGUCCUUAGUACGAGAGGACCGGGAUGGACAUACCUCUGGUGUACCAGUUGUCGUGCCAACGGCAUAGCUGGGUAGCUAUGUGUGGACGGGAUAAGUGCUGAAAGCAUCUAAGCAUGAAGCCCCCCUCAAGAUGAGAUUUCCCAACUUCGGUUAUAAGAUCCCUCAAAGAUGAUGAGGUUAAUAGGUUCGAGGUGGAAGCAUGGUGACAUGUGGAGCUGACGAAUACUAAUCGAUCGAAGACUUAAUCAA